CCUACGGGUGGCAGCAGUGAGGAAUAUUGGUCAAUGGACGAGAGUCUGAACCAGCCAAGUAGCGUGAAGGAUGACUGCCCUAUGGGUUGUAAACUUCUUUUAUAAAGGAAUAAAACGAGGCACGUGUGCCUUUUUGCAUGUACUUUAUGAAUAAGGAUCGGCUAACUCCGUGCCAGCAGCCGCGGUAAUACGGAGGAUCCGAGCGUUAUCCGGAUUUAUUGGGUUUAAAGGGAGCGUAGAUGGGUUGUUAAGUUAGUUGUGAAAGUUUGCGGCUCAACCGUAAAAUUGCAAUUGAUACUGGCAGUCUUGAGUAUAGUUGAGGUAAGCGGAAUGCGUGGUGUAGCGGUGAAAUGCUUAGAUAUCACGAAGAACCCCUAUUGCGAAGGCAGCUUACUAAACUGUGACUGACAUUGAUGCUCGAAAGUGUGGGUAGCAAACAGGAUUAGAUACCCGUGUAGUC
rnacentral:rRNA from 1 species